AACUUCUCCUCUGGGUUCUUCAAGCCAUGAAGAAAGCAAAAUCAAUGGGAACUUGGCAAAUGGUAAUUCUGCCAACUACUUGCAUGGUAUGUCCAGUACUGACAAGGAUUUUAGUAAACUGCUAAAUGAAAAUACUAGUUCUGACAUGGAUAGUGUUGAACCUGCCAGCAAGCAGCUUUGUCUGGAUGGAGGCUCUUUCUUGCUUGAGAAUAAUACAGCAAGCCUAUCUCCCAAGGUUUUAGGAAUGGAAACUAAUUCUGCUGAAGGCAAUACUGAUUUUGGUUUCUUAAGUUCUGAGGAAAUUAAAAUUCAAGAGGGUCCUGCAAGUUCAUAUAAUAUAACCUUGGGGUGUGAUUCUGAUAGCGGUUUAAUAUCGGAUGGAAUUACUGUUUCUAACAUUGGGACAACAGAUGUUAGU
rnacentral:misc_RNA from 1 species